GUGUCAGCCGCCGCGGUAAGACGUAGGGGGCGAGCGUUGUCCGGAAUUACUGGGCGUAAAGCGCGUGCAGGCGGUCUGCUAAGUCCUGUGUGAAAGCCUCCGGCUCAACCGGAGGACGUCGCAGGAUACUGGUGGGCUUGAGGGCGGUAGAGGGCGAUGGAAUUCCCGGUGUAGCGGUGAAAUGCGUAGAUAUCGGGAGGAACGCCAGUGGCGAAGGCGGUCGCCUGGGCCGUCCCUGACGCUGAGACGCGAAAGCUGGGGGAGCGAACGGGAUUAGAAACCCUCGUAGUCC
rnacentral:rRNA from 1 species